rnacentral:rRNA from 1 species
AGAGUUUGAUCCUGGCUCAGGACGAACGCUGGCGGCGUGCUUAAUACAUGCAAGUCGAACGGAGCCUAGCAGGUAGUUUACUACCAGCGAACGCUUAGUGGCGGACGGGUGAGUAACGCGUGGGUAAUCUGCCCCUAAGACUGGGAUAACAGCGCGAAAGUGCUGCUAAUACCGGAUAAUCUUUCUUCGCCGCAUGGUGGAGGAAGGAAAGGAAUCUGCUUAGGGAUGAGCCCGCGUCCCAUUAGCUAGUUGGUGAGGUAACGGCUCACCAAGGCGACGAUGGGUAGCCGGCCUGAGAGGGUGGACGGCCACACUGGGACUGAGACACGGCCCAGACUCCUACGGGAGGCAGCAGUAGGGAAUUUUCCGCAAUGGGCGAAAGCCUGACGGAGCAACGCCGCGUGAGGGAAGAAGGUCUUCGGAUCGUAAACCUUUGUCAUCGAGGACGAUAAUGACGGUACUCGAGGAGGAAGCCCCGGCUAACUACGUGCCAGCAGCCGCGGUAACACGUAGGGGGCGAGCGUUGUCCGGAAUUACUGGGCGUAAAGGGCGCGUAGGCGGCCUAAUAAGUCAGAUGUGAAACCCCCGGGCUUAACCCUGGGCUUGCAUUUGAAACUGUUGGGCUUGAGGACAGGAGAGGAAAGCGGAAUUCCCAGUGUAGCGGUGAAAUGCGUAGAUAUUGGGAAGAACACCAGUGGCGAAGGCGGCUUUCUGGACUGUCACUGACGCUGAGGCGCGAAAGCCAGGGUAGCGAACGGGAUUAGAUACCCCGGUAGUCCUGGCCGUAAACGAUGGAUACUAGGUGUGGGAGGUAUCGACCCCUUCCGUGCCGCAGCCAACGCACUAAGUAUCCCGCCUGGGGAGUACGGCCGCAAGGCUGAAACUCAAAUGAAUUGACGG